AGGGUUACAAUGGAAGUCAAUUAUGGGAUACUGCAUUUGCCGUUCAAGCUAUCAUGUCAACUAAGCUUGCUGAAGAAUAUGGGACAACAUUAAGAAAGGCGCACAAGUAUAUAAAAGACUCCCAGGUCCUAGAAGAUUGUCCUGGGGAUUUACAAAAUUGGUAUCGUCAUAUUUCGAAAGGUGCAUGGCCAUUUUCAACUGCAGAUCAUGG
rnacentral:misc_RNA from 1 species